rnacentral:rRNA from 1 species
CAGCAGCCGCGGUAAUUCCAGCUCCAAUAGCGUAUAUUUAAGUUGUUGCAGUUAAAAGCCGUAGUUGAAUUUCGGGAUCAGUUGGUCGGUCGUGCCUCGGUACGUACUGGUCAAAUUGUUCCUACCUUCUGACGAACCACGAUGUCAUUAAUUUGGUGUCGCGGGAAAUCAGGACUGUACUUUGAAAAAAUUAGAGUGUUUAAAGCAGGCUCGCGCUUGAAUACAUUAGCAUGGAAAAUGAAAUAGGACGUUUGAUUCUAUUUUGUUGGUU